GAUGAAGAACGCAGCGAAAUGCGAUACGUAGUGUGAAUUGCAGAAUUCAGUGAAUCAUCGAAUCUUUGAACGCACAUUGCGCCCUUUGGUAUUCCUUAGGGCAUGCCUGUUCGAGCGUCAUUUAAACCCUCAAGCUAAGCUUGGUGUUGGGUGACUGUCCGCUUCACGGCGGACUCGCCUCAAAAUUAUUGGCGGCCGGUACAUUGGCUUCGAGCGCAGCAGAAACGCGAACUCGGGCCCGUCGUAUUGGCUCCCAGAAGCUAUCUUCACAAUUUUGACCUCGGAUCAGGUAGGGAUACCCGCUGAACUUAAGCAUAUCAAUAAGCGGAGGA
rnacentral:misc_RNA from 1 species